rnacentral:rRNA from 1 species
GACGAACGCUGGCGGCGUGCUUAACACAUGCAAGUCGAACGAGUGGCGAACGGGUGAGUAACACGUGGGUGAUCUGCCUUGCACUUCGGGAUAAGCUUGGGAAACUGGGUCUAAUACCGGAUAGUGCAAGAUGAGCUCGCGGCCUAUCAGCUUGUUGGUGGGGUAAUGGCUACCAAGGCGCGACGGGUAGCCGGCCUGAGGGGGUGUACGGCCACAUUGGGACUGGGAUACGGCCCAGACUCCUACGGGAGGCAGCGGUGGGGAAUAUUGCACAAUGGGCGGAAGACUGAUGCAGCGACGCCGCGGUAAUUC